ensembl:snoRNA
CUGGAAAUGAUGGAUAGCAUGACAUUUGAUUCUUAAUGAUUUUUAAUGUGCUCAUACUGUCUGAUCUGG